UAAGGAAUAUUGGUCAAUGGACGCAAGUCUGAACCAGCCAUGCCGCGUGAAGGAUUAAGGUCCUCUGGAUUGUAAACUUCUUUUAUCUGGGACGAAAAAAGGCGAUUCUUCGUCACUUGACGGUACCAGAUGAAUAAGCACCGGCUAACUCCGUGCCAGCAGCCGCGGUAAUACGGAGGGUGCAAGCGUUAUCCGGAUUCACUGGGUUUAAAGGGUGCGUAGGCGGGCAGGUAAGUCAGUGGUGAAAUCCUAGAGCUUAACUCUAGAACUGCCAUUGAUACUAUCUGUCUUGAAUAUUGUGGAGGUAAGCGGAAUAUGUCAUGUAGCGGUGAAAUGCUUAGAUAUGACAUAGAACACCAAUUGCGAAGGCAGCUUACUACGCAUAUAUUGACGCUGAGGCACGAAAGCGUGGGGAUCAAACA
rnacentral:rRNA from 1 species